rfam:Bacillus sp. FJAT-27997 Scaffold1, whole genome shotgun sequence.
CCCGUGCUACAACCGCUCAUAGUAGGUUCACAAGCUUUUGCUUUUUGCAAAACGCCUAUGAUUGGCGAGUCUGAGACAUUUA